UACGUAGGCAGCGAGCGUUGUUCGGAUUUACUGGGCGUAAAGGGUGCGUAGGCGGUUGUUUAAGUUUGGUGUGAAAUCUCCCGGCUCAACUGGGAGGGUGCGCCGAAUACUGAAUGACUAGAGUGCGGGAGAGGAUAGUGGAAUUCCUGGUGUAGCGGUGAAAUGCGUAGAUAUCAGGAGGAACACCGGUGGUGUAGACGGCUAUCUGGACCGUAACUGACGCUGAGGCACGAAAGCGUGGGUAGCAAACAGG
rnacentral:rRNA from 1 species